AAAAGAACUUAGACACCCCCUCGCAGCCAGGAAGCCAAGCAAAUAGAUCUCAGAGCCUCUCUCCACUUCCAACUCAAUCUCUCUGGAUUUGCUUCAGUGGCCUACAUUACCAGCAAAGCUGGCAUCAGGUUUGCUCAGUGAACCAAAAGGUUUCUUCCUCUGGAAAACAUGAUCAGGAAGUAUCUGUCCCAGAGAGAGCAUGCUUCCAGCAAGCGUCCUGUUUUUACCUCAGUGCUUGGGGGUAUGGAUGUGACAGUGGUCUCCUAUGCAACACUACUGUGCAUUAACUGUUAUAUCCAAAGUGAAAUGUUUCCCUUGUCUUGUACCUGAAGUACCCACUGGUAUGUCUAGUUUGCCUUUCUGUAUUCCGCCUUUAAACUGUCUUUACUGUUGUGGUGUUGUUGUUGUGUGUGUAUUUUUUGUUUUUUGGUUGUUUUUUUUUUCUCUCUUGCCAGAUUGUGUCAUAGAUCUAACAACUUUGGGAUAAGCAAGAGGCCAGAGCACAUGUUUAGAUACUUUGGGCUAUUUUGAGGUCAAGGACAAUUUUUUUACUUGCUUGGUUGUUCGUACCACCUGUAAACGGGUAAUAGUGACACUGACACUGGGCACUCCUUUGGCACCCUGUCAAAAAAUAACAAUUCAGAAACAGUCUGGCUUGGAAUCAGGGGAGCUGUUAACAUUUAGUUUAAUAUAGAUUAAUACAGUGUAGCCAGUGAUAAACCUACAUUGUGAGAAAAUGAAUGAAUUUAGUGAAUCCACUGAAAUGAAGACGAUGUCUGAGAUUCAAUAGUGUGUCUGUUUAGUCCCUUUUAAAAUUUUAUUUAUUGUUUUUUAAAGUAUUUGUUGACAGCUGUUUUCUUUGGUAAGUCUUCUUAACACUCUGCUCCUCCUUAACAGAAGGACAAGACCAAGUGUCUUCAAGAUAAAUCUAGCAGCAGCAAAAGCCAUGCUAGCCUGCCCCCAGCAUUAGUGGGAAGGCAACUGGGAAUUUGUACGUGUAAGGAGUGAGUGGAAUAGUGGAGCAUUACCUUCUGUAUUUACUCUGUUGCUGUUUUGCAUUACUGAACAUUGUUUAGGAGGAAAUGAAAAUCUUUCUAAUGGGAUCUAAAUGAGAUGUGUGGAGCAGCAGAAGGUAGUUCCCUGGAAUGAAAUCAGAUCUGACGGUUGGGAUUUAACACACUCUCUUUUGCCAGAAGUGUGUAAGAUUAUUAAAGCAUCACAACCUCAUUUGGUUGCUUUGUAAUCUGUUCUUAACCUUCAUGCUGAUGAGGCUGUUAUGUAACAACGAGUGAGGGCCAGACCUUAUGUUGCUUCAGUGCCAUGCCCAGAGACCCCAAAGGGGCCAGGUGGAAAGCUGGCUGCAGUUUCCCUCUUGAGAUUAUGUGGAAAACUUGUUUUUGGGCUGUGGGUAGCAUCUCUGACCACAGAGAGGUGUAUCCUAAGGUCUACUAUAUAAUACUAUGUGUUGUCACUGAAACACUCCUGCUUUCAGGAGGCCCAUGGCAAUUCUCUUGACAGGGACACUGGCUAACUCUUUCUCCUUCAGCACCUAAAUUUUGGCUGCAUAGAGAAGCAGGAGUGACUGCUGUAAAGAAGGUGCUUAUUUUUAUUUAAUUUUCAUUAAAUUAAAGGUUUUUCUUUUACACCAGCAAUCUUUGGUUUGACUUUAAUCAAAAGAGAGAUGUAGGUGAGUAGAUAGCCCUUGCUGAGCUCUCCUUUCAGCAGAAUGAAACAUUGCAGUGAUACCUUAAGUUUUAGCUAUCAUAUUUUUCAGGUUCUGUGCUGCCUAGGGGUGCAGUUCUGAGCCUCAUAUUUAAGCGCUAGUGAGCUCUCUUCAUGGAGUAGGUAGACAAAUCGUUUUCCUGCUGAAGACCAAGGACAGUGAGUACAAGUUUCAGGCCCAAAAGCAUAAACAAUGGUGGACUGAAGAGAGAAACAAGAAGGAUGGGAUCUCACAACCUGAAGCUGUGAUUGGACAAUUAAACCCCAAUAUGCAAAUGGACCAAAAUUUAUAAAAGUGUGAGACCCCGUGACCACUCGUCCAUUUUGUGACCAUUUCAAGUCCACCUUGGGUGUAGCCCUGGCCAGGCUCUUGUGCUAUCCAAGGUAUACCUAAAGGCCUUUCAAUAAAUACCUACUUUAUUCUCUAACUCUGUCCAGUCUCUGUUCCAGGUCAGCCUUCCAAGGCAUCAGUUUCUGGGGACCCAGAUGGGACAGUGAGGCAUCUGAAAACCCCCCCUGGACCAGAGGAACACCCAGCUCCUGCCUCCCACUCCUACUGGCACUCCGAGGGGGGUGACCCCAGCUGUGGCCCAGGAGGUAUCAGAGCCCAAGAAUCCAAAACUCUGUGGACCUGACAGAUGCGAUCUCUGGACCAGCACUGAAUGAAUGCCUCAUCUGACCUUGAUCUAGAAGAUGUUGUGGCCGCUGGAGUACAGAUAGCCCUCCAGUUGAUGGGGUGGAGGUUUCUGAGUGAAAAGAUGGUAAAAUGAAGAAAGAGUCACCUUUGAACACGGGAGGCUCCUCUACAUUAUUCUCCAGGAAGAAGAAAAGCUCCCUUACCCCAGCUUCCUGUGAAACGAUGCAGCAUUAAGGAAACAAAACCAAAAGGGAGAAGUGAAACCCUGCUAAGGGCCCUGUUCUCUGAUGGUGAGGCAACAGAGCACCUGCUCUUGGGGGAAAACUUCUGUUGAGCAGUGUAAGAACAGAGACAUCUUGCAUGACCUUCCUUCCUGUCCAUCCAAAGAAGAAACAUCACAUUCUGGCUUCUUGCUCAAGCAAUAGUUUAAACCUGAAUGGUACAAAACCAUGUUUGGUAUCUCAUAAAAGAUAUGCCAUUACAUACCUUGCAAUACAAACACAAACCCUGAAUGCAGAAUUCUGAUUCUUGGCCCAAAUGAUGGUACAGCAGUUACUUAAACAACCAAGUGCAAGCAAAAGGAAAUAUUCUCAGAUUGUAAUGCAAAUAGGUGAGUCUCUCAGGUGGUAACAUAACAGAAAGACUUCCACAAAAAUAAUGCGCCAAGCAAAAACAACGUUCCCUAGCUCAAUGUUGACAGCUUUGCAGAUUUGGAUGUGGUCUCUUCAGCCUAUAAUGCCUCAGUUUAUCCAUUACCUUUUUCUACCUUCUUAACCAAGUAAUACUGAAUUUAAAAGACCCUAAGUAGAACAGACAUUGCAUUCUCCAGGUAUCACUAAAAAUGCAACAGCGUCACAAAACCUAAUUUGAUCACUGAAUUUGUUUUUGUUGAUGAGCCCUAUGGAGAGGUAUGAUUUACCAGGCUCAGUUCACAUCUCUCCCUGUGCAGCAAUAUUUUUAUCUUGCUUUUAGUGACACAGUGUCUUCUUUGGAAAAUA